rnacentral:rRNA from 1 species
GACGAACGCUGGCGGCGUGCUUAACACAUGCAAGUCGAACGGAAAGGCUCCAGCUUGCUGGAGUACUCGAGUGGCGAACGGGUGAGUAACACGUGGGUAAUCUGCCCUGCACUCUGGGAUAAGCCUGGGAAACUGGGUCUAAUACUGGAUAUGACCUUCUCCUUAUGGGGUUUGGUGGAAAGUUUUUCGGUGUAGGAUGAGCCCGCGGCCUAUCAGCUUGUUGGUGGGGUGAUGGCCUACCAAGGCGACGACGGGUAGCCGGCCUGAGAGGGUGAUCGGCCACAUUGGGACUGAGAUACGGCCCAGACUCCUACGGGAGGCAGCAGUGGGGAAUAUUGCACAAUGGGCGGAAGCCUGAUGCAGCGACGCCGCGUGAGGGAUGACGGCCUUCGGGUUGUAAACCUCUUUCAGCAGGGACGAAGCGUAAGUGACGGUACCUGCAGAAGAAGCACCGGCUAACUACGUG